rnacentral:misc_RNA from 1 species
GAUGAAGAACGCAGCGAAAUGCGAUAAGUAAUGUGAAUUGCAGAAUUCAGUGAAUCAUCGAAUCUUUGAACGCACAUUGCGCCCGCCAGUAUUCUGGCGGGCAUGCCUGUUCGAGCGUCAUUUCAACCAUCAAGCCCCCGGCUUGUGUUGGGGACCUGCGGCUGCCGCAGGCCCUGAAAACCAGUGGCGGGCUCGCUAGUCACUCCGAGCGUAGUAAUACAUCUCGCUCAGGGCGUGCUGCGGGUUCCGGCCGUUAAAAAGCCUUAUUUACCCAAGGAUGACCUCGGAUCAGGUAGGAAGACCCGCUGAACUUAAGCAUAUCAAUAAGCGGAGGA